GGUGCAUGGUUGUCGUCAGCUCGUGUCGUGAGAUGUUGGGUUAAGUCCCGCAACGAGCGCAACCCUUGAUCUUAGUUGCCAUCAUUUAGUUGGGCACUCUAAGGUGACUGCCGGUGACAAACCGGAGGAAGGUGGGGAUGACGUCAAAUCAUCAUGCCCCUUAUGACCUGGGCUACACACGUGCUACAAUGGACGGUACAAAGAGCUGCAAGACCGCGAGGUGGAGCUAAUCUCAUAAAACCGUUCUCAGUUCGGAUUGUAGGCUGCAACUCGCCUACAUGAAGCUGGAAUCGCUAGUAAUCGCGGAUCAGCAUGCCGCGGUGAAUACGUUCCCGGGCCUUGUACACACCGCCCGUCACACCACGAGAGUUUGUAACACCCGAAGUCGGUGGGGUAACCUUUUUGGAGCCAGCCGCCUAAGGUGGGACAGAUGAUUGGGGUGAAGUCGUAACAAGGUAGCCGUAUCGGAAGGUGCGGCUGGAUCACCUCCUUUCUAUGGA
rnacentral:rRNA from 1 species